CCUACGAGGCAAAGGAAGGAACAGGGAUGAAAAGGUUUCUCACCCCUCUUGUUCCAAAUCUAAUCCUGUGGCAGAAGGAGGAAGAUGUGUAGCGUUUGAGUGGCUAUGAAUUUCACCUCCACUGCCAAGGGAUGUGAUAGUAGCUGAUUUUCCCCAAUUCUUCAGGGCUCGGAUUUACCACGACUAUGAAAAAAUUUACAAAGGUAACACCUCUUGGGGAGAUUUUUUUUUUUUUAUUGGUUCAUAGUUCAACCUGGUUUUGGUGGCUGACCAUAUAAUAGUUCAUACUGAGUAAUCUACUUACAAAGAAAAGAAGGUUUUUUUGGGGGGAGGGGGGCAGGGGCACCAAUCUCUUGCUGCAGAAUCCUGACACUGGUUGGACCUCCACAGGAUGCUGUUUUUCUUUUGUUAUGAAGUCACUAGUGUUUAAUCUUAAGGGUAGUCCUGAAUGACCCUAUCUAAUCCUGACUGCGCCCAAAGGCUCCCACACUCAGUAGGUUUCAACUCUUGUAGUAUCUCACAAUGGAGAUUAAAUUUUAGCAUGUGUUUGGGAGGAGAUAAAUUAUAUUUAAAUCACACCAUUGGUUAGAUGAUGAAUGCAAACAAGAUGAAGAAAUGUCAACUUCAAUGUAAAACACAGUUUAUACAGAACCUUGUGCUAUCAGGCCCUGAAAUUUUACUGUAAAAAAAAAUUAUAAUAGUUUUUAAAUAAAAACUUCAAGAUGGGAGUAGUAUUACUAUACAGUGUUGUUUUUAGGGAGCAGAGUCCAAUAUUUUUCAUUUAUUCUAAAUUCAUUGUUAUUUGUUUUGCUACCACCUGUAAUGGGUUGCAGCUCCAGGCUAUUCAUACACAGCCUUUUGUACAUCCACCCUAAGAUAGUGCUCUCUGCCAGCCCACUAGUGCCACAGGCUACGGGUCAGAGUUGAAGUUCUCCUGAGAAGUGAGCUGAGUUUGAAUCUUGGCUCUGCCGCUUUUCACCCCGGCAACCCUCAUGCUUACAAAGUCCUUUUUUUCCUUGUCUUUAUCUCCAUCUAUAAGUGGGGAUAAUACUGAUGAGUUCACAGGAAGACAAAAUGAAUUAAUGCGUUAAAAUGCUUUAUGCUGAGUGACUCCACCCCACUGGAUUUUACUUAUUUCCUGUUUGCUUAUUUGGGUGUUUGUUUGUUUGUUGUUGUUGUUGUUGUUGUUGUUAUUUUUGAAGGAUCUCACUAAGUCUCUUAGAAUGCUCUUGAAUUUGAUCUAUAGCCCAGAAUAGCCCUGAGCUUUCAAAUUGCCCUGCCUUAAUAUCUCAAGAGUAAGGAGGAUCCUGGGCUUAUAUAACCAGACACAGGUCUAUGUAAAAUCCUUUGUGCAUAAUUAAUCAUGUAUAACAAAUAUCUUAAAAUCUUAAACUGUCAUUUUAACUAAAGAUUAAACAGGAGGUCAUUUUGUAAUAUUUCUAGGCUCAUCAUAGUUUAUGCAUAAGUUAUCUCAACACAUAUGCUAUUUUCUCCUAUUACUUCCAUUUUGGGUCAAAUUCUUAUUACAUAGUCUUUAACCUCAAAUUAAAUUUCCUCUGAUUUUCUAAGCUAUAAAUAGAAAGCUAACCUCACAUAAUUCUUUAACCCCUAGGCCUAUAAUUUAAUUAACUGUAUAAUUUGCAGGAAAGAUCAGCUUCAUAGCUCUUUUAAGGUAGAACUAAUCUCUCUUUUCUUGACUUAUAAAAAAAUACAAAACUAGUAAGUUUGUAGAUUAUUUGGAUUGUAAGCAUGCAGAAAUCUUCAAGAUCCAAGUUUAUUCACUUCAAUUGUUGUAUAGGCUACAAAUAGAAAAUUCCACCAACACAGCUAACCUCGGCCUGUCUAAACAGAGUCCUUAGACAGGAAUAUAUCCAAGCACUCAAAAAGAAGCAGUUACCUACGUUAGUGCUGUGUAAUUCUAUAAGGUUGCUUAAUUUUACUGAAAACAAUGAUUUAUGUAGGAGAUGUUAUACUUGGGAGACAGGAUUCUGUGUCAGUUCAGUACAGGUAGCACACACACUGAUCAUAAUCCAGUAAAGACUCAUACAUGGCUCUUUGCCAAGAAUACAAUCUGAGCAUUGCAGAUUUUGUUAAAAACAGGGGGUGCUCUUGGGAAUACACUGACUCUGCCUCCAGGGAGUUCCUGUAUCAGUCUACUCUCAAGCGUGUGUUUAUUCCAAGUCACUUUUUUCUGUCUUCCCUUGUUCCCCUCCAGCCUUUAUAUUCCUGUGCAGCUCUCUUCCCAGUGCAUGCUAGGACUGUGGGGUGAAGUUGCCCUCCUCUCCACAGGUCUUGCUGCUCUCCAGAGAUACCAUCACUGUCUCCGGACUUAGUGUAGACAUUAAAGGCAAUCUCUCCAGGAGGAAGCCCGUUCUAGAGACCACCAUCAGGGCACGCUCGCAACACCAAUCCAUCACCACGCAUGGCUGGCAGUGGCCAGGCCUCGGUAUGAAACACAGCUCUACACAGACCUGGUUUCCAUUCAUACACAAGCACGUUUUUGGCUGAGCUCUUCUUCCACCUCCCUGAAGAUCCCAUUUCUGAAAAAGGUGGUCUCUAAAGAACUCAGGAAUGCAUCCGGUCUCUAGCUAGAGAGAUGGAUUUGAAAAUUGCCCUUUCUAACUCUGUGAAGAACUCAGUUGGAAUUUUGAUGGCGAUUGCAAGUACUACUGGAGGAUCCAACAAUACCACUCCUGGGCAUACACCCAGAAGAUGCUUCAACAUGUAAUAAGGACACAUUCUCCACUAUGUUCAUAGCAGCCUUAUUUAUAAUAGCCAGAAGCUGGAAAGAACCCAUAUGCCCCUCAACAGAGGAAUGGAUACAGAAAAUGUGGUACAUUUACACAAUGGAGUACUAUGCAAUUAUUAAAAACAAUGAAUUUAUGAAAUUCUUAGACAAAUGGAUGGAUCUGAAGGAUAUCAUCCUGAGUGAAGUAAUCCAGUCACACAAGAACACACAUGAUAUGCACUCACUGAUAAGUAGAUAUUAGCUCAGAAGCCUGGAAUACCCAAGAUACAAUUCACAAAAAAAAAAAAAAAAAAAAAAAAAAAAAAAAAAAAAAAGGAAAUUCAAGAAGAAGGAAAGCCAAAGUAUGGAUACUUCGAUCCUGCUUACAAGGGGGAAUGAAAUACCCAUGGAAGGAGUUACAUUGAAGUAGAGACUGAGGGAAUGACCAUCCAGAGACUGCCCCACCUGGGGAUCCAUCCUAUAAACAAUCACCAAACCCAGACACUGUUAUGGAUGCCAACAAGAACUUGCUGACAGGAGCCUGAUAUAGCAGUCUCCUAAGAGGCUCUGCCAGUGCCUGAAAAAUACAGAAGUGGAUGAUCACAGCCAUCUACUGGACAGAGCACAGGGUCCCCAAUGAAAGAGCAAGAGAAAGUACCCAAGGAGCUGAAGGGGUUUAAAGUCCCAUAGGAGGAAAAACAAUAUGAACUAACCAGUAUCUCCAGAGGUCCCUUGGACUAAACCACCAACCAAAGGAAACAUAUGGUGGGACUGAUUGUUCUAGCUGCUUAUGUAGCAGAGGAUGGCCCAGUUGUUCAUCCAUGAGAGGAGAGGCCCUUGGUCCUGUAAAAGUUAUAUGACCCAGUAUAGCGGACUGUCAGGGCCAAGAAGAAGGUGUGGGUGGGUUGGUGAGCAGAGGGAGGAGGGAAGGGAUAGAGAGUUUUCGGAGGGGAAACUAGGAAAGGAGAUAACAUUUGAAGUAUAAAUAAAGAAAAUAUCUAAUAAAAAAGAUAAAAUACAAAAAAAAAGAAGAAAGAAAAGCUAGUUUGCAGGAAAUUACCUUAAACACACCUAUGUCUCAUUUAAAAGAAAGCAUGUUAUUUUUAUUAAGAAAAAAAGAAUCAGCAGAAAAGCUCCAUAGUUUACACAAAGUUGCUUAUGGAAUAUAACACCACAGAGUGGAUUUGAUACUAAGGAACAAGGAGAAGUCUUGAACAAUUUGAAUUCUGGGUCCCUGCUGUCUAUGCAGGAGCAAAAACUACUUGUCACAUGUGACGGGGCUGCUCCUGGAUCUGUCACCUGCAUCCCCAGCUCACUGCUUGGUUCCACAGGAAACCACAUUCCCAGGCCUUUUUGCUUCCUGCUUGUACAACAUAUCUCUCCUUUCUCUGACUUUGGAGCAAGAUAUUAGGUUUCCCUCAUGGCUGUCUUUCUUACUUGUUGGCCCCAUGUUGACUGCUAUUCCCACUGACAGCUCCAGAGUUUGACAAAACCUCCUUGUUCAGGGGCUCUAGUUCCAGAUGUGAAGGCUAAUUGUAGUUGCUAAUUCCCAGGUGGGUUUGUUACGUCAUCGCCUGCCUGGAUUUGAGUGUUCCCUGACCUGUGUUCCACUGAAGUUUCCGCUGCCAAAAUCACACUCUACACCCUUACCUCCCUUUAGAUCUACUUUAAACGUUCUGUGCAUUUUAUAUAUGGAUAAGCAAGAGCAAGAAAACAGGUGAAAACUCGAUGGAUUUGAUUUGAUCAACUCCUCCAAACACCAUCCUGGUUCAAACAGACUCGGAUUCACAUUAUGCUCUGUAAUCUGAUAACUAUCUAAUAACUUCCAUCUUUAAAAUGCCAAUUAGAAGUGACAACUGAGCUGUAACCAAUAGUAAGGGCAUUCUAGCACCAAAGCACUGUACUAUUUUCCCCAUUAUCGCAUAACUGACAUCACAACAGUAAAGAAAACUCAUGAAA